rfam:Schistosoma haematobium scaffold1086_4, whole genome shotgun sequence.
AUCCAGCUGACGAGUCCCAAAUAGGACGAAACACGCGUCCUGGAU